rnacentral:rRNA from 1 species
GACGAAGGAUGCAAAGCGUUUAUCCGGAUUCAUUGGGGUUUUAAAGGGGAGCGUAGGCGGCCCCUGUAAGUCAGUGGUGAAAUCUCGCAGCUUAACUGCGAAAUUGCCAUUGAUACUGCAGGGCUUGAGUACAGUUGCUGUGGGCGGAAUAUGACAUGUAGUGGUGAAAUACAUAGAGAUGUCAUAGAACACCGAUUGCGAAGGCAGCUCACAAAACUGUAACUGACGCUGAGGAGCGAAAGCGUGGGGAGCGAACAGGAUUAAGAUAC